rnacentral:rRNA from 1 species
CCUAUGGGGCGCAGCAGGCGCGAAUCAUCUGCAAUACGCGCAAGCGUGACAGUUUGAACUGGAGUGCUUUCCAAAUGGAAAGCUUUUGUGAAAUGUAAAAAGUUUUACGAAUAAGGACUGGGUAAGACGAGUGCCAGCCGCCGCGGUAAUACUCGCGGUCCAAGUCGCAGCCAUUUUUAUUGGGUCUAAAACAUCCGUAGCUUGCUUUGCAAGUUCUCUGUGAAAUCCCGUUUCUCAAGGGCGGGGCGAGCAAAGAAUACUACAAUAGCUAGAGAUUGGAAGACGUAAGAAGUAUGUUCGAAGUAGCGGUAAAAUGUGUUAAUCUCGAACAGACUAACAAGAGCGAAGGCAUCUUACGAGGACAGUUCUGACAGUAAGGGAUGAAGGCCAGGGGCGCAAAAGGGAUUAGAUACCCACGUAGUCC